rnacentral:rRNA from 1 species
GACGAACCGUGCGAACGUUGUUCGGAUUCACUGGGCUUAAAGGGCGCGUGAGGCGGCGUGACAAGUCGGGGGUGAAAUCGUUUCGGCCCAACCGGAAAAGGGCCCCCGAUACUGGCACGCUGGAGGGAGGUAGGGGCGCGCGGAAGCUCCGGUGGAGCGGUGAAAUGCGUAGAUAUCGGAAGGAACGCCGGUGGCGAAAGCGGCGCGCUGGACCGUCUCCUGACGCUGAGGCGCGAAAGCCAGGGGAGCAAACGGG